UACGUAGGGACCAAGCGUUGUUCGGAUUUAUUGGGUUUAAAGGGUGCGUAGGCGGCUUUAUAAGUCAGUGCUGAAAUAUCCCGGCUUAACCGGGAGGGUGGCAUUGAUACUGUAGAGCUUGAGUAAAGUUGAGGUUGGCGGAAUUGACGGUGUAGCGGUGAAAUGCUUAGAUAUCGUCAAGAACACCGAUAGUGAAGACAGCUAACUAAGCUUUAACUGACGCUGAGGCACGAAAGUGUGGGGAUCAAACAGG
rnacentral:rRNA from 1 species